GCGUUCUGGCCGGCAGGCAGCUCUUCGAAGUUGAUGAGCUCUAUGGUCUUGGUCUUGACCAUUGGCCGAUGCGGGUAGACCAGGAGGUACAUGACAGAAUCAAACCUGUUCCGCUGGUUGAGGCCGAUGGUACCCAUUGCCUGCUUGCCCAUGGCGCACUGGUACGUAUUUCUCGGCGACUGGUUGUGGUGUGGAUACGGGAUGAUGCCUGCGCAGACUCCAAGCAGACUGAAGGCUUCGAUCUCGAGGUGCGUCGUCUGCAAGGUUAUGUCCUGCUCACGGAGCGCAAUGUGGCUGUCGUUCUCCUCGUUGACGUCCAGGAACUC